CAAAGGGAGGACCAACUCCAUAUUAAUGCCCAUGAUUUUGGAAGGAGAUGUUUGGUCAUGUAGUGUAUAUAAUAGGCUAUACAUUUCUAUGAUUUUCAUGGAAAAUUACAAACUAAUUUAUGUACUGGAAUUUGAGUUGAAGAGAAAAGCAGAUUCUGAUAUUCUCUGUGGAUUGUACCACCAUUAAUUUCCCUGUGCAUGCUAUUCUCAUACAACAUACAGUAGCAUGUACAUGGACGGAUUAAUAGGGCUGAUGACGUCACUCAGUAUUACAUCUUAUACAGAUGUAGGAUCUUAAUUUGAGCCAAUUUACAACAGCAGGGAAAAGCAAGUCCGAAAUUACAAAAUGCAAAUUACAAACUUCCAAAUUAUUUUAAAACCUCAAAUACAGUGCAAGUUUUAAAUGUCCUGUUCUCCUGCAACAGGGUGAUCAAAUUAAGAUCUGACGUAUGUACAAGAGAAAAUUAAAGCUGUGUCUGUGUGUGUGUGUGUGUGUGUGUGUAGGACAAGGUUGAUGGACUGCUGGUAUUAAAAUGGUACGGACAAGGUGGAACCAAUGAAAUUAUUGAAUUAUGAAUGAAUGAAACAAUGGUAAAGGACACGUACAAAACAAUCUCUGGCAUAAUCUGUUUUUCUAGUGGGGAUUAGUUCAAUCGCUGUAAUCUCCAUCAUGGGACUUUCAGAUGAGCAGAUGGUGCGAAAUCUAUUUUGAGCAAUUCAGUGUUGGUGGAGGAUCUCUUCACAGAGGAAUGUGUUUGUGUUUUAUAGUUGUAUUUUUGUUUUUUCUGUGCUCCUGCCUUGAUUUAAGUAUUUGUGUCUAACUUCUUAAUGUGUAAUUGCUUGCUGAUCUUGUUUAGCAGGGCUCCCUUCUUAAAUACUACAUUGUGUAGGAAAUUUUAAACCAACCCUAUGAACUAUGCCUAUGUAACAUGACUGUAUCCAGUAUAUAAGGGAACUAAACGGGACUGCCCUGUUAGAGCUCCUGACAGACGUUCACUAUGAUGCAUCAAGUUUGUUGGAACCUCUCCAGCGCGCUGACAAUAAACAAUGAUUCAUUUAAGAUUUCC